rnacentral:rRNA from 1 species
CUACGGGAGGCAGCAGUGAGGAAUUUUGCGCAAUGGGGGAAACCCUGACGCAGCAACGCCGCGUGAGUGAUGAAGGCCUUCGGGUCGUAAAACUCUGUCAAGUGGGAAGAACCUAUGUAAGGUUAAUACCCUUAUGUACUGACGGUACCACUGAAGGAAGCACCGGCUAACUCCGUGCCAGCAGCCGCGGUAAUACGGAGGGUGCAAGCGUUAUUCGGAAUUAUUGGGCGUAAAGGGCGCGCAGGCGGUUUUGUAAGUCAGAUGUGAAAGCCCGGGGCUUAACCUCGGAAGUGCAUUUGAUACUGCAAGACUUGAGUAUGGGAGGGGGAAGUGGAAUUCCUGGUGUAGAGGUGACAUUCGUAGAUAUCAGGAGGAACACCAGUGGCGAAGGCGACUUCCUGGACCAAUACUGACGCUGAGGCGCGAAGGCGUGGGGAGCAAACAGGAUUAGAUACCCGAGUAGUC